rnacentral:rRNA from 1 species
AUUGAACGCUGGCGGCAUGCCUAACACAUGCAAAUCGAACGGUAACGGGCCUUCGUUGGCCGACGAGUGGCGAACGGGGGAGUAAGACAACGGAACGUGCCCGAUCGUUGGGGAUAAGGAAGCGAAAGCGUAGCUAAGACCGCAUACGAUCUAAGGAUGAGAGCAGGGGGCCGCAAGGCCGAGCGCGGACGGAGCGGCCUAUGGCAGAUGAGCUAGUGGUUGGGAUAAAAGCUUACCAAGCCGACGAUUUGUAGCGGGUCGGAGAGGAUGAUCAGCCACACUGGGACUGAGACACGGCCCAGACUCCUACGGGAGGCAGCAGUGGGGAAUUUUGGACAAUGGGCGCAAGCCUGACCCAGCCAUGCCGCGUGCAGGAUGAAGGCCUUCGGGUUGUAAACUGAUUUUGUACGGAACGAAAAGCCUUCUUUUAAUCCAGGCGGGUCAUGACGGUACCGUAAGAAUAAGCCCCGGCUAACUACGUG